CAGCAGCCGCGGGAAUACGUAGGGGGCAAGCGUUGUCCGGAAUUAUUGGGCGUAAAGCGCGUGUAGGCGGCUCAGCAAGUCCGCUCUGAAAGCCCAGGGCUCAACCCUGGGAUGCGGGUGGAUACUGCUGAGCUCGAGUCCGGAAGAGGCGAGUGGAAUUCCUGGUGUAGCGGUGAAAUGCGCAGAUAUCAGGAGGAACACCAAUGGCGAAGGCAGCUCGCUGGGACGUGACUGACGCUGAGACGCGAAAGCGUGGGGAGCAAACAGGAUUAGAUACCCCCGUAGUCCCUGUCUCUUAUAC
rnacentral:rRNA from 1 species